rnacentral:rRNA from 1 species
UACGAAGGGGGCUAGCGUUGCUCGGAAUCACUGGGCGUAAAGCGCACGUAGGCGGGUUCUUAAGUCAGGGGUGAAAUCCUGGAGCUCAACUCCAGAACUGCCUUUGAUACUGGGAAUCUCGAGUCCGGGAGAGGUGAGUGGAACUGCGAGUGUAGAGGUGAAAUUCGUAGAUAUUCGCAAGAACACCAGUGGCGAAGGCGGCUCACUGGCCCGGUACUGACGCUGAGGCGCGAAAGCGUGGGGAGCAAACGGG